rnacentral:rRNA from 1 species
UACGGAGGGUGCAAGCGUUGUCCGGAAUCACUGGGCGUAAAGGGCGCGUAGGCGGCUCAUGAAGGCUGUGGUGAAAGUCCGGGGCUCAACCUCGGAUCGGCCGUGGCGACUCGUGGGCUGGAGCACUGUAGAGGCGGGUGGAAUUCCCGGUGUAGCGGUGGAAUGCGUAGAGAUCUGGAAGAACACCAGUGGCGAAGGCGGCCCGCUGGGCAGUGGCUGACGCUGAGGCGCGACAGCGUGGGGAGCAAACAGG